UUCAAACCCUAAAUGAACACCCUAUUCAAUUUGCAACCACAAAAGCCGCAAGGUCCAAGCCCCCUCCUGCUCCUCACGCCGAAGUCAGCAAGAAUGCCGACGGCGCGCCUCUGCCGGUAAAAAACUUCUCCUUUUCCCUCGUUCUUUCGUUUAUUUGUUUUUAAAAACAAGGAAGAAAAUAAAAAAGGUACAAAACAGUAAAGAGAAAGGAAAAACGGAACCAAUCUCAAUACCUUCAAAACUUUUUUUUAUUCUCUGUUUUUGCUUUCUUCAAUCUUUUGAUACAAAGAAUUUUUUCUCUCAUUUCGUCUGUAUCGUUUUUUACACUGAAAAAAUCCCCCACUUUACAGAUUAAAAUCGGCCUUAUAUAGCUAAUUAAUACCAAAAAUCCAAAAAGAAAAAAUCAAAAACCCACUUAUUUUUCGUUAUUUGUUGCGCUUGUGUGCCUCUAUUUUUGCAGGUUUGGUGGUGAAGAGGGCGCAUAUACGUGGAGGCACAAAUCGCACGGAAGGGACCCUGGCUCCGAGUCGAGCGGUGACGGGGGUUGUUGGGAGCAGAAGCGCGCAAAAAGAGGGUGACAGUUGCGGCGGCUACUAGGGUUUUUGACUUUUGAUUUGGGUAAAAAUUUGUUAAAUUUUGGGCUUGUUGGGCUGUUGGUGUUUUGGGCUUGUAAUUAGGGUUAAUAUUUGGGCUAUUGGAUUGGGACUUUGGUUUGUACGGGCCCGGGUAAAUUGGGCUUAUUAUAGCUGCCCCUCUUUGCUUGUUGUCGUGUAACGGGAACAGAGCAAAGACUGAAAAGCCCAAUUGUGCCCGGUCUUACUAAGCUUCAACUUCCUCAAUGCUUCAUUUCUUCAGGUAGCAUCAUUCCUUCCUACUGCAUCUUCAGAGGUAUAGGAACCCGUGCUUCGAUCCACUCCACUGCAACAUCAGGGAGAUAGGAUUCGUACGUUGUAACUUUUCAAAAGAACAAAAUUUGCUAUCUUUAAUCUGCUCCACUGCAACUUUAGGGAGAUAAGACUUAUAGCUUCAAUUUGUUCUGCUACAACUUGAAAAAUAAAUCGGAUGCGAUCUGCUCUACUGUAACUUCAGAGAGAUGAGAUCUGCGGUUUUAAUCCACUCCAUUGCAGCUUCAAGGAGAUAGGAAUACUGGCUUCAACGUACUCCACUGUAACCUCAGGGAGGUAAAAUCCACCAUCUUUGAUCUGCUCCACUACUGCUUAGGGAGAUAAGAUCUGUAAUCUUUAAUCUAUUCCACUGUUGCCCAGGGAGAUAGAAUUACUGGCUUCAAUGUACUCCACUGCAACCUCAGGGAGGUAAAAUCCACCAUCUUUGAUCUGCUCCACUACUGUUUAGGGAGAUAAGAUCUGUAAUCUUUAAUCUAUUCCACUGUUGCCCAGGGAGAUAGAAUUACUGGCUUCAAUGUCUCCACUGCAACCUCAGGGAGAUAAAAUCAGCCAUCUUCGAUCUGCUUCGCUGUUUAUGUAGGAAGGCAAGAUCUUCUAUAUUUGAUCUACUUGACGCCAGUACAUGAAGACAAGAUCUAUUUUCUUCGAUCUACUUCGCCACCAGUACGGGAAGAUAAGAUCUGGUAUCUUUGAUCUACUUCACGCCAGUAUAUGAAGACAAGAUCUGCUUUUUCAAUCGAUUCCACUGCCGACCGGGGAGGUAGAAUUACUGGCUUCAACAUACUCCACUGCAACUUCAGGGAGGUAAAAUCCGCCAUCUUCGAUCUGCUCCACUACUGCUUAGGGAGGCAAAAUCUGUAAUUUUCAAUCUACUUUGCCGCCGGUAUGGGAAGAUGUAUAUUCGAUCCACUUCGCUACCAAUAUAGGAAGACAGGACCUACUAUCUUUGAUCUACUUCACGCCAGUACAUGAAGACACGAUCUGUUUUCUUCGACCUACUCCAUCACCAGUAUGGGGGGACAAGAUCUGUUUCUUUGAUCUACUUCACGCCAAUACAUGAAGACAAGAUCUACUUUCAUUGAUCUACUCCACCACCAGUAUGGGGAGACAAGGUCUGUUGACUUUGAUCUACUUCACGCCGAUACAUGAAGGCAAGAUCUGCUUUCUUUGAUCUACUCCACCACCAGUAUGGGGAGACAAGAUCUGUUGACUUUGAUCUACUUCACGCUGAUACAUGAAGACAAUAUCUACUUUCUUUCGAUCUGCUUCGCCACUAGUAUGGGAAGGCGAGAUCUGUAUAUUCGAUCUAUUUCACGCUAGUACAUGAAGACAAGAUCUGUAUUCCUUCGAUCUGCUUCGCCACCAGUAUGGGAAGGCGAGAUCUGUUAUCUUUGAUCUACUUCACGCCAGUACAUGAAGACAAGAUCUGCUUUUUCCUUCGAUCUGCUUCGCCACCAGUAUGGGAAGGCGAGAUUUGUAUAUUCGAUCCACUUCGCUACCAAUAUAGGAAGACAAGACCUGCUGCUUCUCAAAACCUGCUCAACUGUUGUUCAGGGAGAUAAGGCUUUAUGAUUUCACCAAUCUGUUCUCUGGGGAACAUGACCUGUAUAAUUCACUUUAUGAACCUAACUAUGCCUAAUGAUUAAGAUGUCAUGAUCAAAUGAAUCAAAUGCUCCUAACUAGGCGUGUAUGAAUGACAUUUGAAUGAAUGCAGAAUGUCAUUUUUUCGAGAAUGAUCCCUCAUUUUCACUUAGGUUAUCAUUACUCAAAGUUUAUUUAAAGUUUCAUCGCUAAUGUGCUAGAGCACCCUCUUGCUCAGCUGGCGUCUCGAAAGAAACACUUGACCAGAUUGCCCCUCACUGUAAACCUCCAAGUUUGAUCCAUUGGGAUGCAAAAUUUAUACCAUCUUUCUCCCGUUGUCACCCAAGAGUAAAAAGAUUUGGUCUUUUCUCAAUCCUCUACUAUCACAAUUCAAGGAUACAGGAUAUGAAACUCUUUGGUCCCUUACACCAUUCCCAGGGUGUCAUACUAAAUUCUCAUGCACAAAUGAAGAAUGUUCCUCUCCAAGAACAACUUCUUCUUAUUAUUCGGUGAUCAUUGCCUGCUUGUUCAUUGAAGCCUUGUCACCAACAUGACACAUUGCCAUUUUGUCCAAUCGAUGUUUUAGGCAACAAAAUUUAAAGGGAUAGUCUGAAUUUAGACUUUUCCUUAUUAGAUUUCCAACCUGGUGCGUUCUAAACAAUAGUCCUGUUUCAGGUUCCUGUAUUAUUUAGAAACUUCUAGAGUAAUAUGCAAAACUUCCCUUGUGAAAGUUUUAUUAGUCUGUUAACCAUUAUUCUAAUGCAACAUGCUUGCAAAAAGAUCAUGGAUAAGAAUAGAGUUGGCUCUGAGCAUAGCUCGAAAUGAAUAAAUUAUCAAGGAUAAUAAAGAUGGAUAACAAGGAAAUUGAUUUAGGAAUGCAUAUCUUGGAAAUAAAUGAAGUGUUCCAAGAAUAACAAAAAUAGUAUAAGGAUUAGGUGCCCUAGAUAUCGCAGCCUGAACUUCUCUGUACAGACUUUCUGAAGACCAUUCUGACUUUAACAUGUGUUUAGGAGAUCUACAGUACUUUGUCGAUGCCCCCAAAAUGUCGCCUACCCUUUCCUGUUGAUUCAGGUAUAGCAAAACCACUGCAUGCCCCGCUCUGAUCAGUAUAUGAGCUGCUCUGAUUACUUUAUGCCCCAUUCUGAUCAAUAUUUGAGCCGCCCUUUUCGGGUUUUCAACUUAAAUCCCCUUUGGUCUAAAGCGCCCUUUGCAAGUUUUCACCUUAGCCUCUCCAUUUUUUUUACUCAAGGCUCCCUUUGUAGGGUUUCACCCUGGUCUCUUUUUUUUUUACUCAAAGCGCCCUUUGUAGGCUUUCACCUUGGUCCCACCUUUUUUAAGCAGAGUAUUUCCUGACUGAAUCUAAGUUUACAGGACUUUGUAAAUUUUUACCAUCCAUCUCACUCAAGAUCAAAGCUUCUCCAGAAAAGGCUUUCUUUAUAACAUAUGAACCCUUCUAAUUUGGCCUCUAUCUUCCUCUAAAAUCCUUUUGUAUAGGAAGGAUCUUUUUCAACACUAGUUCCCUCUUGUGAAAUUCUUUGGGACGAACCUUCGGGUCUUCCUCUUAGGAUAAAAUGUAGAGAAAUGACAAUUCGACUUCAAUGAGUAAAGCUAUGAUAAGCCAAAGAGGAGGAUAUUGCCCCAGCAAAGAAAGUUUACUGCAUCGUUCAUAGCAUCGAUGUUGAACCUACUGCCCAUUUCUAACAUCAUGUUGUUAUUCAGAUUACAAGCUAGUGCUUAACCCGAGCAUAUCUGGGUAUGACCAUGUGAAGACAUCAUUGAAUUCUUGGGGUAGCUCUAUAAGGUCCCGCCUCAUCUUUGUGAUCAUGUCAAUUCACCAAGCUCACAAUUUCUGAUAAUUCAUCGCGAUGUAGGAUCUGUCUAUCCUCUUAUUCUAUCACCCUCCUCAAGUCUGGAGAUAAGCUACAAUCUAUGUCAUCUUCAAAGUCAUGAGAUCCCUCUAAACACAUGUCUCACUCAAAAGGAAUUUUUGAGUCUGUAGCAGCGUCACUCAUGACAUUGAUAUCUGGGGACCCAUAGUAGGUAUCCGAGAAUAUACAAAAGAAUGUAUGAAUAAUAUGAAUGAAUGGUUUGGCAGAGAAAAAAAAUCCAAAAAAAAAUGAAAAAACGUAAAGAAUGAAAGAACAUUUGCUCAAAGAUUAUUGCAAUAAUGUAUUUCAUUAAAAUAAUAAUGUUCAGACGUGAGCCUAUUUCAUAAAGAAAACCUUAUUGCUUCUAGGCUGAAAGCAACAAGUGUGUUCUGAACAUUACUCUAACAGACUUUAAAUACUUCAGGGGUUUCCUCCGCAGUCUCAUUAUUUAGAACACCUCUAAGGCAAAUAUCUAACAAGGACCCUUUAAAUUGUGUCUGCAUAUAUGGCAUCGAUGUGCAAAUUUCUCACCACUUUUUCAUACAUUGCAGUCCCUCUAUCCUCAAUCAUGAUUGGGUAGCAGAUUUCCUGCGCUAGACGAGUCACCAAACUUGAUAAUACCCAUGUUGAUAAGUCUUUCAACUUGCUUCUUGAAGGCGGUGCAAUUCUCAAUCGAGUGUCCCGUAAUUCUCGCGUGGUAGUCACAUUGUGUGUUCGCAUCAUACCAUUCGGGAUACGGAGGUUGUAGAGGCUUCACAUGAAAAGGGGAAACAACAUGUGCAUCAAACAAAUUUUGAUACAGUUCCUUAUACGGUACUGGGAUUGGUGUAAACUAGAACUUUUCAGUCUUUAUGCCGGAAUCUUACCUCGAAGAAUUUUGUUGAUUACCAACCACCUUUCUUGGCUGAACAGUAACUGAUUUAGAGUAACCCGUGUUGUUCACCUCAUUUUCUCUUCUUUUUGAGACUGACCUCUUGUUACUCUCCUAUAUAUUAAUUUUCCCACUUCUUAUCACAUUUUCGAUCAUUUCACCAUUCAUAAUUAUGUCAGAAAAGCUUUUUGUAGCAUUUCCUAACAUAUGCGUAAUGAAUGGGGCUUUCAGUGUGUUAAUAAAUAGCAUGGUCAUUUCUUUCUCCAAGAGCGGUGGCUGGACUUGGAUUGCGACUUCCCUCCAUCUUUGUGCAUAUUGCCUGAAGCUUUCACUCGGCUUCUUCUUCAUAUUUUGAAGGGUGAUUCUAUUAGGAGCCAUGUCUGUCACAUGACUAUAUUGUUUCAUGAAUGCUUGCGCCAAGUCUCUCCAUGAACCAAUCGUGGCACGACUCAACUGAUUGUACCACUUGGAUGCUGCCCCUGCAAGGCUGUCUUGGAAGCAAUGUAUUAAUAGCUGGUCAUUAUUAACGUAUCCAGCCAUUCGCCUGCAGAACAUGGUGAUAUGAGUCUCUGGGCAAGUCGUCCCAUUGUACUUCUCGAAUUCAGGCAUCUUAAAUUUAUGAGGAAGUACAAGGUCUGGCACUAAACUCAGCUCUUUUGCGUCAAUGCCUCGAUAACUUUCAGUGACUUCCAUCGCCUUGAACUUCUCCUCGAGCCACUUACAUCUCUCUUCUAACUGUCUCGGCAACUCCUCCUUCACUCUUUCCUUCUCAACCACUUCAUCAAAGUCAGGAACGGUAGAGUUAAUAGGAUUAUUUUCGGGAUUAAAACCUGGCCCAGUUUGAAGGUUCGAAAUACCAGCUCGAAAUUGCUGAGGCAUGAUGGUGACAGUAGAUUUACACGGGUGUUCAGCUUGUGCUCGCUCAUGUGGAGGGGUGAAACCUGGAGGAUAGAAAAGUUCAUUAUCAUUUCCCUCAUCGACAUCUGCCAUGGGGCCCUUUCCUUUGUCACCUCCCUUAGUUAUCAGUUGGGUUAACUUUGCCACUAUAUCUUCUUGGGAUUCUCGCAUCUUCUCAGACAUCUCUUGUUUCAUCUUGUCUAACCGCUCCUGCAUUUGUAGCUGAAGCCGGUCUUGCAUAUCAUUUUGGUACUAUUCGAGCUUCUCUAAUCUCUAAUCCAUAUCUUUUAUCUUUGCUCAAGUGCCAUAUCGGUGUUGGUUUUCCGAUUUAACUGAAAUAAUUUUACUCAAUUAGGCUCUUUCAAUAGAUUUUAAUGCAUAUGAUACUAUGUAAUGCAAAUGCAUGGGAUGAAUGCAAAAAGAGACGUUGAUUCUGAUUCAAUUCCAUUUAGAAAACUUUUCUAGAAGAUAAAUUUCUUUACAUAAAGCAGAGAUAUAUAUACGGCUUUGCCCUCAUACUCCAAGCGAGGACAUCUUCUCCUUCUUCAUCUGGAUGCUAAGAUAAAUCUUGCAAAUUCUUCAAAAGGGGUUAUCUCCUCUACCUCUUUUUUACUUGAUCCUGGUUAUAAUCCAACGUCUGCCCAUCCCCGUAAUGCUCCUCAACUUCUUUAAGAUAGUUGGAAUGUCAGAAACUCUUGAAUAAUUGGCUUGACCUUGAGGCACGAAGUAAAGUUAUGUGUUCCUCCAUCACCCUUCUCCUAUCACGUUUUCUUGGACCUUAUUCGGACGACCAUAUUGUCAUCCACUUUAUCAAGAAACCCAUUUUCGUAUGACAAGCUCUCUAUUUAGUAAUCGAACUCGAAUCAACAUCUCUUUUCUAAGAUGCAAAUGUAAUGCAAUCAUGAUGUCAUGUAAUCAAAACAAAAUAAACCUAAGUCAGUAUCCCACCAAAAAGAUAUAAUCCAAUACAAACAUGAAAUAGCCAGAACAUUUAUUCAAGAAUCCUCUAAGGUUUGGUAUAGCUCUACCUAGGGCAAGUUCUUAAAGCUCACUAUAUGAGGUUUAGUUUCUAGAGUAAGGGUACCCGAACCAGCAGAUUCCUCGAUCCUCACCCAUUAUAGGCUCAUAUGGACCGAGUUCAGUUCAGGGGAAUACAUUUCCCUAUGGCUGCACGGAGAUGAAAAUCUCACGAGAACAUAGGUACGGAUGUAUCCCGGAAGCGGUCCACUACCCUGCACGGAGGUGAAAACCUCACGAAGGACUAGUUUCUCGCUCCCACUUAAAGGGUAAAACUGACCAUGUAAAAUGCCAAUGCAAAGUUGCCAAAAUACCAUGAUAAAACAUCAAUGAGUGCGAAGGGUACUCAUGAAAUUUUUUAAAAACUUUUGAUUUUUGACACAAAGACAAAUAUAAUCAGUUUAUGGCUCGACUCUCUAAAGUCCCCAGCAGAGUCGCCAAGCUGUCGAAACCGUUUUUUUUUAAAACAAAAAUUUUAGUUUCGACUUAAAAAUAAAAACUGGAGUCGCCACCGAUCCUUGAUUGGGGUGUGAUCGGCUCACCUUAAAAACAAUUUUGGUCUGCGAAAUUUGAGAAAACAGGUUCGGGAGUCAGUUACGCACGAGGAAGUAUUAGCACCCUCGUAACGCCCAAAAUUGGUACCAAAUUGAUUUUUUUUAAUGCCUUUGUGUCGAAAAUUUGAAAAAAAAUUUAAAAGGAAACUUUUUAUUUCAUGAAAAAAUGAUAAGACAUUCUUAUUUCAAAGAAAUAAAACACCACACCCAGUGAGUUAGGGCACAAUGUCUUUAAAUCUUCAAAAUACUCGAAUAUUGCCUCUUGCUUUUGAAAAUUCUUAUUUCGAGAAGAAAAUGUCAUGACCAGUAAGUUAGGACCCAACAUUUUGAAUUCCCGAGAAUAAGCUUUUAUUUAAAAUUUGCGAAUUUAUUGCAAAACAAAUACUUGGCUUUCUAAAUUCAUCGAAAAAUAAUCGCAAUCCAGUAAGUUAGGACACAAUCUUUCCCGAGAAUCAUGAAUGCCAAAUAUUUUGGAAAUUUGUAAAAAUAUGAUUUUAAUACUUUGAUAAAACCCAAAAUAUAUUUCCCGAAAGGUAUGUUAAAAGUUAAUGUAUAAUAUGAAACACAACUUUAAUUUCAAACAUAUAUGAAUAAAUAUUUACAAAUAUAUAUACAAGUAGGUAUAAUAUACAACUAAAUUUACAAGCAUGUGUACGCAUACAUUCAACAUGUAAAUAUAAGUGUACAUAUAAAAAGACGGAAUGAAAUAUAUCAAUCAAAAUUUAAUAAAAAUGCAUGUAUGUAUUUGAAAAUCGUGAAAAUAACAUAAAAAUAUAAAAAUAUGUACAUAUGUAUAUAUCUACAAAAAAAUGUAUAAGUAUAUAUGUAUUGGUAAAUCAUGAAAAUAUGUGUGUAUUUAAAAGAUUAUAUAUGUACAAUAUGUAUAAAAUAAUAGAAUAGAUAGAACAAAAUGUUUAUAAUAAUUUAAGAAUAUAUAUAGAAUAUAUGUACCACAGAAAAUGAAUAUAUAUUUUAAAUUACAAAAUAUGAGAAAUAUAUGUGUAUUUUGAAAGGUGUAUAUGUAUAUAUAAGGUAUAAAGUAUAAAGUAUAUAAAAGUUUAAAAUAAUAAUAAAAAAGCUAGAAAAACAUGUGAAUAAAACAUAUGCACGAAUUUAUAAAAACUUAAACUGGAUAUAUAUAUAUGUAUUAAAAAUAUGCAUAUUAUAUAUGGAAAAUAUGUGUAUGUGCUAUAUGAAAAAGGCAUGUGUAUAAAUAUGGCAGUAAUAAUAAUAAUAAUGCUAAUAAAUGAAAUAACAGUAGUAAUAGACGGUGGCUAAAUCAAAAUUAAACAAUAAUUUUAGGGUCAAAAUCUAAAAAGGGACUAAAUCAAAUUGAACACGAAAGGGGAAGGACCAAAGAAACAAAUAUCCCCGCUGCAAUAGAAAACGCGGGUUUAGUCGGGUUCUGGGUCGGGUCACACGGGUUAUUGGGUUACAUUAAAACGGGGCCGUUUUUCAAACCAGAUAAAAUCCCCUUUUUCAAACCCUAAAUGAACACCCUAUUCAAUUUGCAACCACAAUAGCUGCAAGGUCCAAGCCCCCUCCUGCUCCUCACGCCGAAGUCAGCAAGAAUGCCGACGGCGCGCCUCUGCCGGUAAGAAACUUCUCCUUUUCCCUCGUUCUUUCAUUUAUUUGUUUUUAAAAACAAGGAAGAAAAUAAAAAGGGUACAAAACAGUAAAGAGAAAGGAAAAACGGAACCAAUCUCAAUACCUUCAAAACUUUUUUUUAUUCUCUGUUUUUGCUUUCUUCAAUCUUUUGAUACAAAGAAUUUUUUCUCUCUUUUCGUCUGUAUCAUUUUUUACACUGAAAAAAUCCCCCACUUUACAGAUUAAAAUCGGCCUUAUAUAGCUGAUUAAUACCAAAAAUCCAAAAAGAAAAAAUAAAAAACCCACUUAUUUUCCGUUAUUUGCUGCGCUUGUGUGCCUCUAUUUUUGCAGGUUUGGUGGUGAAGAGGGCGCAUAUACGUGGAGGCACAAAUCGCGCGGAAGGGACCCUGGCUCCGAGUCGAGCGGUGACGGGGGUUGCUGGGAGCAGAAACGCGCAAAAAGAGGGUGACAGUUGCGGCGGCUACUAGGGUUUUUGACUUUUGAUUUGGGUAAAAAUUUGUUAAAUUUUGGGCUUGUUGGGCUGUUGGUGUUUUGGGCUUGUAAUUAGGGUUAAUAUUUGGGCUAUUGGAUUGGGACUUUGGUUUGUACGGGCCCGGGUAAAUUGGGCUUAUUACAUUCAAUCUUAUGAUACUUUCAAGUAGGUCUCCCUAAUUUGGUAAGAAUUCUGUUUUUCUUUUCAAGCUUCAUUGAUUAAUCUCUAGAAAAUUAGGAUUGUAGUUUUUUUUUUUGUGAUCGAUUAGUAUUUUUAUGCAAUAUUUAGUUUUUUAUUUAUUAAAUGAUUUUGAGAUAUUAAUUUUGUACGAGAUUCCUAACAUAGUGAUUGACUAAUAAUUUAUAAAGGUUGAUUAAUACAAAUCCUUGAAGAAAUUAGGAUUGAUUGUAUUUAUAAUCUUGAAGUUCUUGAAUAUUGAUUAGAAAUUUAAUAUUUUUACUUAGAAAUUAUUGUUACUAGUGUGAUUAUUGUGAAUCUUGUGUUUAAAAUUUUGAUGUAUUGCAUUCUCGUGACAACAAUAAGCAUUUAAGUGAUUUUUAUUUUUGUAAAAGAAAAUUACUAGUUGUAUAUUGACUUCGCGAACACCUUUAUGUGUUUAAGACUUAAAUUUAUUUGUUCUAAAUAUUUAAUAGGAAUGGAAAAAUAUUUUAAAAGGAAAUCUAGUAAAGUGGAGGAAGAACAACAAGAAAAAAAAUAUUAUAUAUAAAUUUAUAUAAAUUUUAUAAACAUUUUAAUUUAAAAAAAGUUGAGCCCACAAUCCAAAUUUCUUGUCUUUGCUCCUGCCUAACAUCUUAAUUGAGUAAUAAUUUUUAGAAGUUGAUUAAUACAAAUCUUUGAAGAAGUUAGGAUAGAUCGCAUUUUUAAUCUUCAAUUUCUUGAAUUAUUGAUUAUAAAUUCUUUUUUUAGUUUAAAAUUUAUUGUUUCUAGCGUGAAUCUUGUAUUUAUGUUCAGCUUCUGUUUGAAUUGUAUUUCCAUGACACCAAAAAGCACUUAAAAAAUUUUUAUUUUUGUGAAAGAAAAUUACUAGUAUGGCUUCAUGAAAACAAUUUAUAAAUAUUGAAUUUAUUUUUGUGUUGUGCCUCAAUUUAUCUUAUAUUUUGUAUAAUUUUUCAUAGCAAUUCUAUUUUCUAAGUUGUUAUUUGAUGAAUGGAAAAUAAUUACAUAUUGAACUUUUAGCAUAGAAUUUUAUAAAUAUUGAGUUUAUAUUGUAAAAUUAUUUGGUAUCACUACACCAAAACAGGUUUUAGCAGCGUUUUUAGGCCUAGCGCCGCUAAAAGUAUUUGCGGCGCUUUUGAAAGCGCCGUAAAAAAUGCCGCUGAUGUCAAUGCCGUUAACGUUUGCAGCAUUUAUUGAAAUAAACGCCGCUAAAGGUCAUGUUCUUUAGUCGCUUUUCCUUAAAACGCCGCUAAAGGCCAUGUUCUUUAGCGACGCCUUUCCCACAAACGCCGCUAAAGGCCAUGUUCUUUAGCGGCGCUUUUCCCACAAACGCCGCUAAAUGCCAUGUUCUUUAGCUGCGCUUUUCCCACAAAUGCCGCUAAAGAUCAUGUUCUUUAGCGGCGCUUUUCUCGCAAAUGCCGUUGUAAUAGGCCUAUUUUGACCAGGCCCAAAACAUACCCAAAUCCAAAUAAAUAAAAUCAAACAAAACCAAAUUAAAAGUCUAUCAAUCCAAUUACAAUGGGCCAAAUUCAGAUUGAAGCCCAAAUACCAGACCCGAUUACAAACCCAAUAUCCAGAAAACCCAAUCAGCCCAAGCCACCUAACCCUAGCCCAACACAAAAACAAAUCAGAAAACCCUAGCAUCAUAGCUUCCAGCGCUGCAGCCACCAGGGUUCUCCCUCAGCCUCACCCGUGCCUCCGUACGCAUCACGUCUACCCUCCGUACGGCCGUACCUGCGUAGCAUACAAACAAACAACAAGAGAAGUGUAGAAAAAAGAAAUAACAUAAAAAGAAAAAGAAAAUAAGUUUGUAUUUUUUUUCAUUUUUGCUUUUCUUUCGGGGGCUAUAAAAAAGCCUUUCAAAAACUUGUAAUGGACACGCAAGAUCAAUACAAAGAAAUAAUACAAAAAACAGAAAAUCAAAAAGUUUUGAAGGUGAUUUUUUUAUUCGAUUUUCGUUACUGUUCCCUUUUUUUUAAAUCGUGUAUAUAAAAAAGGGGGGUGAAAGAGGAGAUCUUACCUGGAGACGCCCUUGGAUCCACGCGAAAAGGAGCCGAAAAGCCCUUGGUGGUGAGGCUCCGACCACCGUUCACGGUGGAAUUGCGGCGGAGGAACGGUGUAAAAAGCUAGGGCCGAAACCCUAGCAGAGAAAUAGAAGCAGCCCUUUUUUACUUUUCUUUUUUUGGGGCAGAUGUUGCUUAUGUUUUUUUAAUGAAAUUUUUUGUUUAAGUAGCAACGCAAUACGGUGUCGUUUGAUAGCCCUCGACCCGCGCAGUGACCCGACCCGAGGGAAGGAUCCGCGCGUUUUGGGUCUGAUGGCCUAUUUGCGCAAUUGGUCCCUCUGAUCUUGCAGGAUUUUUAAAUCGAUCUUUUUUAUUUUUUAAUAUUUGCCCCACAUUUUCGAUAUUGUUCCAUUUUGGCCUAUACUGCUACAAUGCGUUUUGAGGAAUAUGGAAUAUUGCUUAUUUAGACCCCUAUGAAAUACGCACAUUUGAUUUUGGUUUUUUUAAUUUCAUUUUAAUUUUUGUUUUUCCUUAUGAUUUUGGUUUUGAAUCCAAUUUAAUCCAUAAUUCAAUUUAUUCAUUUUCUAAAAUUUUAUCUUGAUUUUGUUGUCUUUAGUAUAUAUUUAUUUAUAAACCUAGCAUUAUUUGAAUAUUUAAGUUUUAAUAUUGUUUUAAAAUUUAUUAUUAGAAUUAUUUAAAAUAUAAUAUACUAUUAUUUUAAACUAAUAUUAUCUAAACGUACCAUACAUAGUUAUUUUAAUUUGUUAUAUAUUAUAACUUUAUUAUUUGACCAUGUGAAUUCGACUUUGCUUACAUUCAAUUCAAUCAAUCCAGAAUAGUGAAUCCAACCUUCUAAGUUGAAGUUUUUUCCAAUGAUGAAAGGUACUAUGUCACAUGAGGAAGUUUUUCCAAAAACCAAAAAUAUAAGAGUGGUGAAGAGGUGGCAUGGUGCUACCUUGGAGAUUUCGUAAAAUGGAUGACUUGGCUUAGCAUUAUAAGUUAAGUGAUACUAACUCAAUUAGUAGCAAUGGUUUUUCGGUAUCAUUCUUACUUUGCUCAUUUUGGAAAUUUUGAGAAUUGACAUUUAUUUAUUUUUCUAGUUGCAUCCUAUUUUUUUAAGGUGAGAUAAAUAUCCAAUUUUUUGUGUCUUUUAAGGAUAUUUUUUACUUAGUAUUCUCCAAUUUUGUAAUCUCGUUUUGGAUCUUUAUAUCAAUAAAUUUUUAUUGACUUAACAAAACAAAUUCAAUUGAUAAAUUUGUUAGAUCUGGCGCAUUAAGUGUAGUAUAUUUAUUUUGUAUACUUGUAUUUUUUUAAACAAGCUGGUUUAAUAAAAAUAUUCAUUAAUUACAUUAAUACCCUUUGUAUAUUUUUCGUGAUGUUUUUGCACACAAAGCAAAAUGGAAGCAAAUAUUAGCUCAUUGGUUAUUUAGUGUUUAACUAAUACUAAGCGACAUUAUGUGGACAGAUUGAAAUAUGAAAAUAUAACUUGUAUUAGUAGAUGAACCUAAACAUGUCCUUAGUCUAAUCGAAAAUGAGCAAAUUGAUUGAAAGACUAAUAUGCUGUCUAUCAAGUCCAAUUAGGGAUAUGCUUGGUCUUGAGCAUCAAAGUGGAUGACUACCAGAAGAUAGAGAUAUUGAUAUAGCCGACUGGACUGAUAGUACAUCAAACAGAACCCAAGUAGAAUAGAUCCUAGAUCCGUUUAUGGAUUUGUUCACUUGUAACAUUCAUAGUGUGAGAUAACUUAAUCCUGAGUGGAUGAUGUAUUAUGCAUACGUGACUUGUAUACUUUGAUGUAAGUAAAAGCCUAAGUUCAAAUAGAUAAAGAACUGAAAAAUGAUGCGUUGGGUAUACGACUUCUGUAGUAUGUAGCAUCACUCACAAUAGUGGAACUCAUAGCCCAACUAAUGCGUAAAUGAUAUCCUCUCAUCGACAUUACAUGAUAGAUGAAAAGAAAACAUGGUGACGAGUUGUUUGUCUUUGUGAUAAAUGACUUGAUUACUAUUUUAUAAUAAUUGAUUUUUUAUGAAGGAAGAUGUAAUGAUUACCAUGAGACAAAAUAGGGUGAUAUUGGAAGAAUAAAUUUGUCCCAAAGUGAUUAAGGAUAUCUUAUGAAGGUAAUACACUUAUGACAAGGUCAUUGAAUGAGCACUGAUUGAGUAGCUUUCGUAAUGGUAUGUAAUUAGGGAGAGCUCAAUCAUGAUACUAUAGUGGAAUGACUUCGUGACUAAAUAAGUUUAUAAUUAAUAGGUGAAAAAUUGGAACUUAAUUAUAAAUUAUUUGAGCCCUAAUUAUAUAUGUUUAAUCGGUCCCUCCACUAACUCGUUGAAAUCAUAAAUAAAUUGUAUGUAGAACCAAAUGGACAUAAAUGACUGAAAAUGAUUAAGUUAGAGAAAUAGACCGCAUUCACAAAUGAAUGUGUUUUUUCACUAAGUAAAGAAAUGACUUGAGAAUUAAUUUAAGAUUUUCGAAUUAUUAUUUAAGUAAAUAUAAUUAAAUAAUUGAAGUUCAAAAAUAGAAUUAAAUUAAUUAGUCAUUAUGAAUCCAUUGAAUAUAGAAAUUAAAUAUAUUUCCUCAUAGGUUCUUUUAUGGUAAAGUUGUCAUGAGUUUAGCGAAAUUAGAAUGGGGUUGACAAAAUUAUUUAAUUUGGAAAUUAAUGUAUUUAGUUUGAUUAACUAAAAACAAAUAUUGGGUUGAAUUAAAUUAUAAAGUGCUGUGUCAAAAGUUCAGGAAGCACAUAUUGUCACAUCUUAAAAACCGGGUUAGAAGAAUUGGGAUUGUGAAAUUAUGUUAAGUGAGUUAACCUGGUUCAGUGGAUAGGUGUUGUGCUUACAUGUGUGAGGUUCUAGAUUUGAGCUCUUCCUUUGAAAUUUUGUUCAUUUGUAGCUCAAUUAUUAUCUCCAGUUUUUUGACUU
rnacentral:lncRNA from 1 species